UACGUAGGCAGCAAGCGUUGUUCGGAAUUACUAGGCGUAAAGAGUGUGUAGGCGGUGCUCUAAGUUUGGUGUGAAAUCUCCCGGCUCAACUGGGAGGGUGCGCCGAAAACUGGAAUGCUUGAACGUGGGAGAGGAAAGCGGAAUUCCUGGUGUAGCGGUGAAAUGCGUAGAUAUCAGGAGGAACACCUGCGGUGUAGACGGCUUUCUGGACCAUUGUUGACGCUGAGACACGAAAGCGUGGGUAGCAAACAGG
rnacentral:rRNA from 1 species